GAUGAACGCUAGCUACAGGCUUAACACAUGCAAGUCGAGGGGUAACGAGAGGAAAGCUUGCUUUCCUUGUCGACGACCGGCGCACGGGUGAGUAACGCGUAUCCAACCUGCCCCCAACUAGGGAAUAACCUGGCGAAAGUAAGACUAAUACCCUAUAAUUUCCUCAGAUGUCAUCUGACGAUGAAUAAAGAUUUAACGGUUGUGGAUGGGGAUGCGUCUGAAUAGCUUGUUGGCGGGGUAACGGCCAACCAAGGCAACGAUCAGUAGGGGUUCUGAGAGGAAGGUCCACCACAUUGGAACUGAGACACGGUCCAAACUCCUACGGGAGGCAGCAGUGAGGAAUUUUGGUGAAUGGGCGGAAGCCUGAACCAGCCAAGUAGCGUGCAGGAUGACGGCCCUAUGGGUUGUAAACUGCUUUUAUACAGGAAUAAAGUUAGCCACGUGUGGUUAUUUGUAGGUACUGUAUGAAUAAGGACCGGCUAAUUCCGUGCCAGCAGCCGCCGCCG
rnacentral:rRNA from 1 species